AUUGAAUCAGAACCAUGAGCCAAGUAAGUCUCCUUUGUUUGUCCUUUAUUUGGCACUGUGUGCUUUGUUGGAGCCCACACAACUCACCAAGACACUGUUCCAAUGCGAGUCUGCCAAAGUAGGGAAGCCCCACACGUCUGGAAUCCACACUCCGACCUGGGAGGAUACUGGAGAAACGAGCAGGAUUCAGAGAUAGGCCUGCAGGCCCAGGGAUUUGAAGAGGCUGAGGAAGGAAGAUCACAAAUUUAAGGGCAGCUCAAGCUCCAGAGCCAGUUCAAGGCCAGACAAGAGUACAUGAGGACCUGGGCACACACCUCAGCAUCCAUUCACAGAAUCCUGUACAGUAGUACACACUUGUGAUCCCAGCACUGAGGUGAGACCAUGGAGGUACCUGGGUUUGCCCAUCUAGCUUAGCCUAACCAGGUGAGCCCCAGGCCAGGAGGAGACUCCAUCUCAAACAACUGUGGGCAGCAUGGAAGGAGGAGCCAAGCCCGAGUUUGUUCUAUUUCCAUGCAAAUAUACACAUCGCCUAUCAGCCUUGGUCAUGCCAUUUUGAAGUCUCUCCCUUUGGGUUAAGUGAUGGCAAUUUCCACCACAGAAGUCAGCACUGCAGACUUGGUUUCCUGGAUCCUGCCCUGCCCCUGCAUCCCUCUGAUGAUGGCUGAUCAGGAGGGAUGCUUAUCCAUCACCGGAUGUUUGCUCAUUUGCUGCUCACUGUUCUUUGGUCACUCCUGCCAGUGGCCAAUCUGGAACUGGAAAGGACUAAUAACAGCCUCCUUCCCAGCCUCUCCACCUUCUGCCCUGUAAUUACUUUAGCUUGUAAGCAGACGUCAGACCCUGAUUCUUAUACCGAUGCACUCUGUCUUCUCCCAGAUUAAAAGCCUGCAUUGUAUUAAGUCGUUGGUUUCCGUGUCUGUCUCUCACCACAGAUAAACAUGCACAAAACAAAGAAGCAAAAGCGAUCAAGCAAAACCUCAAGGUUUACCCCCACUUCCUCCAGCGAGGCUCUGCCUCCUAAAGGUUCUGCAUCUUAUCGAAACAGCACGCCAUCUGGGAACCAAAUGUUCAAACACACGAACCUGUCGGGGCAUUUUGCACUCCAACCACACAUCCCCAGAUCCAGGGCCAUGCUUCUUUGCCAUCCGAGUUCACAGCUACAUUCCAUAUUUCUAGUCCUCUAUAGCAAACAGACCUUUACAGAGUAUGUGUUGCCUGGUUUUGUGUUAACGUGACACAAGCUACAGUCAUCAGAGAGAACAGAGACUCAAUUGAGAAAAUGCCUCAAGAUUGGGCUAUAGGCAAGCUUGUAGAACAUUUUCUUAAUUAGUGAUUGAUGGAGGAGGGCCCAGCCCAUUGUGGGUGGGGACAUUCCUGGGCAGGUGGUCCUGGGUUCUAUAAGAAAGCAGGUUGAGCAAGCCAUGGGGAGGAGGCAGUAAGCAGCACCCUCCUUGGCCU
rnacentral:lncRNA from 1 species